UGCAGUCGAGCGGCAGCGGGAAAGUAGCUUGCUACUUUUGCCGGCGAGCGGCGGACGGGUGAGUAAUGCCUGGGAAAUUGCCCAGUCGAGGGGGAUAACAGUUGGAAACGACUGCUAAUACCGCAUACGCCCUACGGGGGAAAGCAGGGGACCUUCGGGCCUUGCGCGAUUGGAUAUGCCCAGGUGGGAUUAGCUUGUUGGUGAGGUAAUGGCUCACCAAGGCGACGAUCCCUAGCUGGUCUGAGAGGAUGAUCAGCCACACUGGAACUGAGACACGGUCCAGACUCCUACGGGAGGCAGCAGUGGGGAAUAUUGCACAAUGGGGGAAACCCUGAUGCAGCCAUGCCGCGUGUGUGAAGAAGGCCUUCGGGUUGUAAAGCACUUUCAGCGAGGAGGAAAGGUUGGUAGCUAAUAACUGCCAACUGUGACGUUACUCGCAGAAGAAGCACCGGCUAACUCCGUGCCAGCAGCCGCGGUAAUACGGAGGGUGCGAGCGUUAAUCGGAAUUACUGGGCGUAAAGCGCACGCAGGCGGUUGGAUAAGUUAGAUGUGAAAGCCCCGGGCUCAACCUGGGAAUUGCAUUUAAAACUGUCCAGCUAGAGUCUUGUAGAGGGGGGUAGAAUUCCAGGUGUAGCGGUGAAAUGCGUAGAGAUCUGGAGAAAUACCGGCGGCGAAGGCGGCCCCCUGGACAAAGACUGACGCUC
rnacentral:rRNA from 1 species